CGUAUGCAAAAGAGAGGGCCACGCAGCCAUCUUUCAGACCGCAUCGAACUCCUCCUUUCCGCCGCCGCCGCCUCCGCCGCAGCCAUUCAUGGCGAGGCGCCGCCGGGGAGGAUUCGAACAUUAAUCCAUGCUAUUCCCCACCCGUCCCUGUAAAUCCCAAGCUCCUGCCGCCGUAGCUGCUAUCUGCAGCCUCCGCCCCUCCUCCUCAUCGCCGGCGCUUAUUCCUCCCCCGUAUCACGACGACAACCCAUUCGCCUCACUACUCACUUCCGAUCCCCCUCCGCCGGAUCCGCUCCGCCAGGUUCUCGCCACGGGAGACGUCCACGGCGCGCUCCGCGGCCUCCCUGGCCUCGCUCGCCAGCUGUUCCGGUGGGCGGAGGGCACCCCGCACGGUUUCCCCCGCUCCGCCUCCGCAUUCGCCGCCGUCCUUGUCCCGCUCGCUGAGGCCAGGCACAACGGCUCCGCUUAUCCCGUCUCCCUCCGCGCUAUCCAGGCUGGCCUUCUCCUUCCCCUCAUCUCUCUCCUCCUCACGUAUCCCCUGUCCCCCUCCUCCCACCACCUCCUCAACUUCCUCUUACGCAUGUCCACCAAGUUUGUGCCCGAAUGCCAAGCUCAGGACCCUGCGCUCACCAGCUGUUCGACGCAAUGCCUUUCCGCCUUCCAAGAGAUGGCGCGUCAAGGUGUCGCCCCUUACGUCAAGGUGUGCAACUGCGUGCUCUCUGUGCUGUGCGACGCAGCCAGGUGGGACGACAUGCGUGCUGUGUAUUCAGAUAUGCUUCAGCUUGGGGUUGAGCCAUCCAUUGUCACAUACAAUACACUGCUGGAUUCUUUUUGUAAGGCAGGGAGGAUCGAUCAGGCUGUCAUGCUGCUCAAGGAUAUGGAGGCCCAAGUUGCUGGGUGCUUGCCGAAUGAUGUCACCUAUAAUGUGGUGAUCAGUGGGCUGGCCAGGAACGGUGAGCUGGACAAGGCGGCUCAACUGGUUGACAGAAUGCGGUUGUCCAAACAAGCGUCAGCCUUCACAUAUAAUCCACUUAUCAGUGGGUUGUUAGCAAGGGGUUUUGUUGAAAAGGCUGAUGCUUUGCAGCAGGAGAUGCAGAAUGAUGGCAUUGUGCCAACGGUGGUGACAUACAAUACAUUGAUUCAUGGGUUAUUUAAAAGAGGGAACGGGGAGGCGGCAGAGUUGAAAUUUCUGGAAAUGAGGGCAAUGGGGUUGCAGCCAGAUUUGAUUACUUACAAUUCCUUGAUAAAUGGACAUUGUAAGGCAUGUAAUUUGAAGCAGGCACUUUGGUUGCUUGGUGAUUUGAGACGUGCAGGGCUAGCACCAACAGUUAUGACAUAUAACAUCCUUAUAGAUGGCUAUUGUAGAUUAGGUAAUUUAGGGGAGGCUAUGAGAUUCAAGGAGGAGAUGAGAGCAGAGUGCUGCCUGCCCGAUGUUUGUACAUAUACUAUUCUUAUGAAUGGGUCAUGUAAGGUCAAGAACAUUGCUCUGGUAAGGGUGUUCUUUGAUGAAAUGCUGAGUAAGGGUUUAAAGCCAGACUGCUUUGCUUACAACACAAGGAUUUCAGCAGAGCUGACUCUAGGUGCUAUUUCCGAUGCUUUUCAGUUGAGGGAGGAGAUGAUGCCGAGUGGAAUUUCUUCCGAUACAGUUACAUAUAAUAUUCUUAUUGAUGGACUGUGCAAGGCUGGUAGCCUGAAAGAUGCCUAUGUGUUGUGGAUGAAGAUGGUCAGUGAUGGUUUACAACUUGACUGUGUCACAUACACUUGCUUGAUUCAUGCACAUUGUAAGUGGGGGCUUCUAAGGAAAGCAAAUAAUAUUUUUCGUGGCAUGGUUGCAAGUGGUUUGUCACCCUCGGCUGUGACCUAUACCAUUUUUAUUCACACAUACUGUAGGGUGGGAGAUCUUGAUUCAGCAUAUGGCUGGUUCCGGAAGAUGCUGGAGGAAGGAGUGGAACCUAAUGAAGUAACAUAUAAUGUGCUCAUGAAUGCACUAUGCCGGAUAGGGAGAACUGAAUUGGCUUAUCAAUAUUUUCAUGAGAUGCUGGAGAGAGGAUUGGUGCCAAACAAAUACACAUACACUUUGUUGAUAGACGGGAACUGUAAAAAAGGUAACUGGGUGGAGGCUGUAAGGCUGUACUGUGAAAUGCAUCAGAAAGGUAUUCAUCCAGACCAUUGUACACAUAAUGCCCUGUUUAAGGGAUUUGGCGAAGAUCACAUGCACGACACAAUUCAGUACUUGGAGAAUGUUGUUUUGGGUGCAUAGGACGGUCUUCAAGAAAGGAUCGUCUUAGCCUUGCUUGGUGGAAAACUCUAUGACAGAUGGAAUUUGGGGUGACACUCUGGAUAAAGGAGCUAUGUGAUUUCCAGACAGAUAACACAAACAGGAUGAUGCAUGGCUGCCGCAGAAGAAGGGAGCCAUUUCUGGGUCAUCCACAAGUAUAAAAAGUAAGGUGCAUUGUGUGCGAUCCAGAGGGUCCUCUGCUCUGGUACAAUGAGCUUCUUGAAAGCCUGCCUGGACACCUCUGGCGGGAAAGAAGGCCACCAGUAAUUGAUAACUGGUACAACUAGCGCGGCUCCUGUGAGCCUGCAUCGAUAGCAAAUUGUAGCUUUUACAACUCUGAAGAGUUUCAUAUUUCAUGAAGAUACAUAUGGCUGGAGUUUCUUUCUUUGCCUGUGAGGUAUAUACUGGAGGCAACCCCAAACUGUGUAUCCUCCCAUGGAGACACCCAAGACAUGGAACUUCUGUCCAAGCUCCAGCUGGUCGGCGAGCUCCUCUAUAUCCAAGGCUUCACUUUUGACACUCCGACCGGGGUUUGGGUCACUUUCCCCGUACCCUGCUCUAUCAAAUGCAAGGAGGUGAGGGGAAGUCCUUGGUGCUAUCAAAUGCGUGCACUGUGAUGAUCUUGUACUUGGCCUUGUCUCUCUGCACACCGUCUUCCCGGUAUGCGAGGUACCUCCCAUCCCUGAGCUUGAUCCUGGGAGAUGUCACCGGAGGUCCACCCGCCGAGCCGCAACGUUUUGUAGGUGGUGGCCGGAGAAUGGCCUGGAAGGCCAAACCAAGCAGCACCACUGGAAGAACGACGAGCAAUCUUCGAGCCAUUCUUCCCAGAUCCAGUGCUUUCGGUGUCAGUUGUGGAGGUUUAUGCGUGGCGGGGGCAAAGCUGCAAUGUGGGCUGCUCUUUUACUCCACUCCACCGGUAGUGUGUGCGCAUCAUUGCACGGACGGGACCCCCUGACCCUGGCCUCUUUCUUUGUUUGCCUCCACUACUCUGGCUUGUUGCUGACUGUGUAAACAAAUAAUUAUCAUCAUCACACCCACAUGGUCCUUGAUGACCUAUAUCUAUUUCCCCACAUCACCAUCCAUCUGGUGAAACUAGACCUCCUUCUAAUUGGGCCUAAAUUUGAUUAGCUUUCUUAGGGUAAGGUUUCUUACACCAGUUUUAUAAGUUUAAUAAGGUCUAAUAUGGGUCCAUGUACUUCUCUGGGCGAUGAUAGACGGGAGCUCCUGUUUGACGCUCUUUCGCGCAGGGUCUGUGAAUGGGCCGCCAGCCCACUCUUGUAUUUUGAAAACAGGGACGUUUUUUGAAUAUGUGAAAAAAUUGAAAUACAGAGACAUUGUUCA